UGCAGCGACACGCCCCGGUCCUGCUCACCUCCUGCACUCGCAGGGGUGUCCGCAGGGUGCCCGUGGGGCGGCAGAAGAAAACACCCAUGCUCUGGGGCGGGGGCAACCUGAACCAGGGGUUGGCUUCCUUCCCCCUGAGCGCUCAGGGGAACCACUGGGUCCCUGGGUUUUGAGUCAGUCAGUCACACGGGGAGCAGGCGGGUGCAUUGAGAAUUGACUGCCAGGACCUUGGGGUUUCCGAGCGGACCGUCCUGGAAGCUGCUUGAAGGACCUUGAUGUAGAAAACCCCGCCCCCUCUCCUGGGACGACUUCAGCAUUUGGAGGGGUUUCUGCCAAGCAACUUGCAGUCGGGUCCAGGCCUUGGACUUCACAUCAGGUUCAAGCCCCCCUUGGAGAGGUGCCGUGUGGAUCAAGCCAGAAGGAAGAGACUGGUGCUUCUGAACGGAGCUGUUACCACUGGUGUCUGUUAGUCAUGUGAUCAUCAUUAAUAAGUAACACUGGUUCAGUACUUACUACCUGGAAGGUGCACUUUUAAAUACUUCCUGUAUCACCUCAUCUAACCCUUACAACAAUCCUGCGGGCUUGGGCACUUUUAUUACCAUUUUUCAGCAGUCCCUGGUUUCCAUAUGGUGCAACAGAGAAAGACUUCCACAACUGAAAAGGCAACAAGGAAACCCUCAGGCAGUGUGAGAUCAUUUCCUAUGAGACCAGAAAUCAGCGUGAAGAUGUCACACCAACCUUAUUUUUUUUCUCAAGAGGAAUCUUAAAGAACUGCUCCUCUGCAAUUUUUACUUUUUAUAAAAAGAAAACAAACACAUGUAACAUUCACUGCAAUUUCAUUUCUUUUUCAUGUCUUAAUUUAAAAUAAAACUUAGUUUACUAAAAAGUAA